AAUGUUCAAGACAAGUACAUUAAUCAUGCAGCCCAUGCAGAAAAUGUCCCAACUAAGCUGACUAAACUGAGGCAUUUUGGAGAAUGUUUGCAUUAUGAAUUAGUCAUUCCCUACGCAGUUACUAAGCUGGGUUCUAUUAGCCAGUGAGGUAGUUGAUUGCAGCACUGAAUAUUUUUAGUGUGAAUUUAUAACAAUGACUAACACUGUGUCAUGCCUCAGAGAGAACAUGUAGCAUUCUGGGAAAGGCAUGCUCAUAUGUCAAAAAGGGUUUAGGAUGGGAUCAUAAAUGAAUGUAUCAGUGUCUAAUGAGCUACCACCCAUAAGAAGUGUACUGCCUUGAGUACAAGAAGCAACCUCUAUGUAUGAAGAAACAAUGUGUACUGUGAGUAAAGAGGAAGAAAUGUAAUUCACUUACCCUUCCUAACACCAGCAUCAAGGAAUGUAAAAUUAUGAUAAACUGAAAAGUUGGUGUUCCCUUUAUUCUGGCUGGUUUGUCAUUCAGACCUCAAGUGAUCCAAACAGCACUUGGUUCUGAAUAUUUUUUAGAGAAAUGCUUCAUUAAUCAUAAUCCACAUUUAUAGAACAUUCCUGAUCCAGAGGGACAAAGAUGGUCACUCCUGCCUCCCUGACUUGGAUAUAGAAGCUACACCAGAUGCAAGGAGGUGGAUCAAGCUGUCAAAUUCAGAUGCCAUCAACUAUGGGGCUACUUAGUGAUUCAUGUACAUACAGUAGAAUUGACUAAAGGGGUUGGGUGAGAGAAGAUAAACUUUAGAAAAAAACCCUCUGAACUUCCGCAAGCACACCUGAACGGAACUACCAAAUUCUUGUGGCUCACGC
rnacentral:lncRNA from 1 species